rnacentral:tRNA from 1 species
ACUAGGGUAGUUUAAUUAAAAAUAUUGAUUUGUGGAGUCAAAGAUUUAUUUAUUCUAGUU